GUGUGUGUGGCUGAGGAUCCAAGCCCAAGGCCUUGCACACACUAGGCAUAUGCUCUCUCUCCCAUUUAAGUUAUACCCCUAGCCCUGCAUUUCCAUUUCCUUUUUUUUUUUUUUUAAGGUAUCAGAGUUUGGAAAUGAGGACCUGAGGUACUCUAAGGAACAUUAGUUUUUAUGAAUCACAGCCCUAUUAUAAAUAAAACUAUCAGUUUCAUUUUAGUGGAACUUCCCAAAAACAAAUACCAAAAACUUUGUCAGGCCUGAAGGACUACUAAACUAAAUAUUGAAGGCUAACCAACACCAAGGGGAUUUCUGUGUUUUAGCAAUUAUUCUGGGGAAGCACAGGGUACUCUGCUGGACAAAGUUUAUCUCAGGAAAUGAAGAUGUGGAUGAAGAAAGCUGAUGGGCUGGCAGAGAGCUCUUCUUUGCUAAACUCUAAAGGAUCACCAUUGCCCUCAAACUGGAUUCCAGUCCAAUGUACUUUAAUAAAAUGGCAGUGAUGUAUCCUUUGUCAGGAAGAAAGCCAAUAUGAGUCACUCUGGAAUGGCUCAGAGAAUUGGGAUUCCCCAAGCCCUCUGUUGCACUAGUUCUUUCCUCUUGCAGAUGCCAGCCAGGCUCUUACACUUUCCUAGUCAGCAUUUCUAACUUACGAAACAGAAACGGAAGUAAAUCGAAAAAACUGACUUCUGUCCUUCAGUCCAACAAAUAAUUACCUUCUUGACCUGAACCUCAGCAUUCUCUAUGCACUUCCAAGAAAAUCUCAGUAGGAGAGUAUAAAGUUCUUAUUGCAUUUUAUUUAAGGUAAUUGGGAAAAAGCAACACAAAUUGAUUUAUCAGUCUGGUGUAAUCAUGAGAGACAGUCCAUGGAAUAAUUUGAACAGAGAAAAUACAAAGAAUUUUAGCCAGGAGCAAUGCUAUGCAUCUAAUCUGGGCUAUUCAGGAGGGUGAGGCAGGAGGAUUGCUGGAGCUCAGGAGUUCAAGGUUGGUCUGGGCAACAUAGCAAGACCCUGUCUCAAAAUAAAAUAAAAUUAAGAAAAAAAUAAUAAUUUUAAAAUAGGGCUGGGAAUGUAAUUCAGUGGUGUAAAGAAUGGUGGAAAAGCUCUGUAAACUCAACAAGCCAAAACAACCGUUUACCUGUCUGAGAUUUUAUUAGCAGGACUGUAGAGGCCAGUCGCAGAAGCGAAGUGGGGGAGAGAGAGAAGAGAGAGGGGGAGAGAGAGAGGAGAAGGGGAAGAGAGAGAGAGGAGGGGGGAGAGAGAGGGGAGAGUAAGAGAGAGGGAGAGCAAGAGAGUGAACAUGAACAGGGUGUUGAUAUUUAUGGGCUUAACUCAGGAUGAGGAGGAGCAAGGAGAGUGGGCUGCUACUUCUUCAUUAGCUGAGAGUUGGCGCCACUUCAGGGAUCGGAGGUGCGCCAUUCAAAGUUCAUGCCAUUCACAGGGAUUGGAGGUGAUGGUUCGCGCACCAUUCAGUGCAUCAUGGACCUAAGCUCCCGGAAGAGAAGCGCUCUGGGCGCCAUCUUUACCAACAUGUGGUUCAUUGCUUACUUAGCACAUGUAAGGCCCCAGGUUUGAUUCCCAUCACCACAAAAAAAAAAAAAAAUCAAUAAAUAUAUACAAAUUUUAACUAUAAUAGAAAUUGUAGGCUGUAUAGUGCCUGCACCUGUCAAUUCACAUGGCAAAACCCUAACUCUCAGGACCUUAGAAUCUGACUCUAUCGGUGAAAGGGCCCGAAAGAUGUACUUAAGUUAAAUUGGAGGUGACACUACCCUGACUGGCAGCUCAAACCAGUAAAUACCCAAAGACAGCACAACCCCUUAAAAUGGGAGAGGGAAGAAAGCAAACAAGGCUGUGUAUUUUGAGCUUUAUCAGAAAGUCUUAAGGGAGGGAAAGGGGGAAUGCUAUUGGCCAAGUUAAAUUGUUAUAUUGUGUGCAUGUCUGAGUAUGUAACAAUGAAUCUCAUCAUUAUGUAUAUUUAUAAUACUCCAAUUUCAAAAAGAGAAAAAAAAAAUCAGCCUAUGGUUAAAAAGAAAAAAAGUCUGAAGAGAACAGUGGGUGAAAAACUAGAAACAGGGAGUAGUGUUCCUCAGUUUCUAUAUUUAAGUCUUUAUUUUUAAAACCUCAAGAUCUUUGCCAGUAAGAUGACAUUUAUUCUUUCCUAAAUUUCACUGACAAUUAUAAUUUCCAAAACUGGGUAUCACUGAAAUGUACAUAUAUACCAAGGUAUUUGGCCUAAGAUAUUUUUUAUUUGUAGUUUUUUUUUUUUUUUAAUUGUGGUUAAAAAGCCACAUAAUAUGAAAUUUACCAUUUUGGUCAUUUUUAAGUGCACAGCACAGUAGCAUUAUUGUAAGGAUGGCCUUAGGCCUGAGCCUAAGCAACUCCAUUUUAACAACUCCAGUUUGAAACCUGCAGUCUUACCAGGCACACCUAAGGGGCCCUCCAGUAUGGCCCUUAGGCACAAACAAAUCACUUCUCCCCACCCUGAUAAACUUCAGACCAGAUGUUUUAACCCCAGGAUAAAUGAUGUCACUGAGAAAUCUGGUGGCAUUGAAAGGGGGGUCAAAAGCCCCAAAAUUUGGUAUAAAUAAUAGAGCAAAAGAACAGACAUUCAGCCAGCGAUACUGGUGCUCUCACGCUGAGAACCUGAUGAGGACCUGGACUGACAUCCCAACACUGUUCAUCAUUUGCUGAUCCUCUGCAUCUACCUCAUCACUCUCAAACUCUACAGCCACAUCUUGACCUUAGUGACAGCCGCAAUUUUUCCCUAUGACCCUCUCCUCCACCAGCCAUCACCUCCACCCCAGGAGAAGCCUGCCUUGGUUCCUUAUCUGAUCACCAUGGUCUGAAUGAAUGUGCAUCUGCUGGACUUAAAGCUUAAGGCUCGAGACUUUUGAUCUGACACUUGAACUUAGCAUGCAGAGGGAAUGUCUGUCACUAGCCUGUCAUGAUUAAGUGUGCUCAAAGUGCUUAGAAUUAAUUAAUCUAGAAUUGUUUGUUUGUUGUGAAUUGAUUAUAUCAAUUACAGUGCCUAGCAUUAAGGAUUGUUGUUUUCUUGAUUAAGAACCUAUAGAGUGAAAUUAUAUUGAGGGAUUUGAGUGAAUAAACCAUUGAGUAGGGC
rnacentral:lncRNA from 1 species